GGAGGAAUAUUGCACAAUGGGGGAAACCCUGAAGCAGCGACGCGGCGUGAGCGAAGAAGGCCUGCGGGUAGUAAAGCUCUUUUAGGAGGGAAGAUAAUGACGGUACCUAACCAGAAAGCCACGGCUAACGACGUGCCAGCAGCCGCGGUAAUACGUAGGUGGCAAGCGUUGUCCGGAAUUAUUGGGCGUAAAGCGCGCGCAGGUGGCUUAUAAAGUCUGAUGUGAAAGCCCCCGGCUCAACCGUGGAGGGUCAUUGGAAACUAAUAAACUUGAGUGCAGGAGGGAAAAGUGGAAUUCCUACUGUAGCGGUGAAAUGCUUCGAUAUUAGGGGGAACACCGUUGGCGAAAGCGGCUUUUUGGCCUGCCACUGCCACUGGGGCGCGAAGGCGUGGGGGGCAAACAGG
rnacentral:rRNA from 1 species